CUGAAUACUGGAUCCAUUCACUCACUUCUUGGGGAGGAACAGGCCUGCCAUUCUGGCAAGUACAAUACGUGACUUUGGCAUAGGAUGGGAAAUCAAGUUGAAUACUGUACAGUAUGAAAUCGCAGGGGUGAUUUUGAGAACACACCAAAACUUUUAACCCUGCUGGAAUUGUCCAGGGGUCUGCUGGAGGCAAACGCUGCAGAAGAUAGAAUGCUCUUGGAUCUUUAACCACCAUGAAUGCUCAGGCCUUGGGUUAAAAGGCUUAUUAGGAAGUCUGUAAUAUAGAGGUAAAUAUCUGAGACAAAGUGUCAUUUCUUUCUUCCCUGACACACUUUUCAGAGCCAAGUGGCAGCAGUAGGAGGGGUAUUGCACUCCUCUCACUUCCUGUUGCCUUAGCAAAAUUCAAGUGCUACAAGAACCAAUCCUGUAACAUUUGUUGCUAGAGAUGUUGAAAAUUAUUCUCCUUCUGAUGCCUGGUGCUGGGGUUGGAGACCUCAUCUCGCAGUGGCCAAAAGCAGCAAUCCAGAAACCAGGGGAGGCUGUGACCAUGAGCUGUUACCAGAAUGACAGUGACCGGACAAACAUGCUCUGGUACCAGCAACCCCAGGGAGAAGGUCUGAAGUUAAUAGCCAUUAUUUAUACUGGGUCAAGUCCCUCUUAUGAGAAAGACUUCGAUGAGAGCAAGUUCAUGAUCAGCAGAGAGCAGAAGCUGUCUGUCAUGACUGUGAAGAAAGUAACCGCCAGGGAUGCAGCCACCUAUUUCUGUGCUGCCAGUGAGCACACACUGCUGUGA